AUCCAGCUGAUUAGUCCCAAAUAGGAUAAAAUACGCGUCUUGGAU
rfam:Schistosoma rodhaini strain Burundi genome assembly, scaffold: SROB_scaffold0000202